GGCUCAGGAUGAACGCUAGCUACAGGCUUAACACAUGCAAGUCGAGGGGCAGCAUGAAAGUAGCUUGCUACUUUGAUGGCGACCGGCGCACGGGUGCGUAACACGUAUCCAAUCUACCCAUGGCUCAGGGAUAGCCUUUCGAAAGAAAGAUUAAUACCUGAUGGUUUCAUGAGCCCGCAUGGACUUAUGAAUAAAGAUUUAUCGGCGAUGGAUGAGGAUGCGUCCGAUUAGAUAGUAGGCGGGGUAACGGCCCACCUAGUCGACGAUCGGUAGGGGCUCUGAGAGGAGGAUCCCCCACAUUGGAACUGAGACACGGUCCAAACUCCUACGGGAGGCAGCAGUGAGGAAUAUUGGUCAAUGGGCGAGAGCCUGAACCAGCCAAGUAGCGUGAGGGAUGACUGCCCUAUGGGUUGUAAACCUCUUUUGUUUGGGAAUAAAGUGAGCCACGUGUGGCUUUUUGUAUGUACCUUACGAAUAAGCAUCGGCUAAUUCCGUGCCAGCCGCCGC
rnacentral:rRNA from 1 species